GCUGCUGCUCUCUUUCUCCCACCUAAUACCAGGCGAGUCCCUACGGUGGUUCUCUGGCGUCGUACUGUCUUUUUCUCCCCCUCCCGGCGGUAACGACCGGACAGACGUCUUUCUCUCUCCGCCCUUGGGGCCGGCUGGGGCGUUUACAGAGCUCCUGGCUGCACGCAAAACAGGUGCUUCCACCCCUUGCUCCAAAGCAAGGCGGGGUGGGCUGCGGCAGGAAGUGUGGAAGGGCAGGAGGAGCCGGAGAUGAGGGGCCUGGGAGAGGAUGCCUGACCCUGGGGAAGGACAUGUUCGGGGGAAAUGGCUUACAGUGCCCCAGGGCCUGCACUGGGUGUUGGGGACACAGCGGUGGCCACUACAGUCCCGGUUCCUGCCCUCGCAGAGCUCAGGGACCAACAGGAGACAGGCGGACCGCCAAGUGGAUGUCUGGUCUGGUUCCCGAUGGUCCUCCAGUCCCUGGCCCGCGUCCCUCUGGCAUCACGGAGAUCCUGCCCUAGAAUACCUGGAUCCGCCCCCAGUGAGCCUGCAUCAUUCCACACCUCCCCUACCCCCACCGCAGUCUCCCCGGGAUCAGUCCAGGACAAA